AUUGAACGCUGGCGGCAUGCCUUACACAUGCAAGUCGAACGGCAGCACGGGAGCAAUCCUGGUGGCGAGUGGCGAACGGGUGAGUAAUAUAUCGGAACGUGCCCAGUCGUGGGGGAUAACGUAGCGAAAGCUACGCUAAUACCGCAUACGAUCUAUGGAUGAAAGCGGGGGAUCGCAAGACCUCGCGCGAUUGGAGCGGCCGAUAUCAGAUUAGGUAGUUGGUGAGGUAAAGGCUCGCCAAGCCGACGAUCUGUAGCUGGUCUGAGAGGACGACCAGCCACACUGGGACUGAGACACGGCCCAGACUCCUACGGGAGGCAGCAGUGGGGGAA
rnacentral:rRNA from 1 species